UUCAAAUCCCCCAACAGUUCUUUAAUUUAGAAUGCAUUACAGUUGGUAUUUAUAUGAGUUAACUGACAGCUGUAAGAAAUCAGCAUUGGGCUGUUGUGUAAGUUGAUUGAUAUUUGCAGACAAAAAGGCCUGAAGGACAAAGCCUAGGAAGAGAGAAAAGUGCCUUGUGAUCAUUUCUGCUUCUUCUUUCUUGAAACAUGGGCCCUGUGGGAAGUAGAAUCCUCUUUAUCUUCACAAGUUCUACAGACAUUUUUAACCAAAGGGAACUGUCAUUCCCAUGGAUACUACUAAAUUAAAAUCUUUUGAGUGCAUAUCUUUGUUGUUUGGAAGGCACUGUAGUUUUCUGCAUUUAAUACAACCAUCACAUCUGGAAAGAGGAAUAUGUGGACAAUCUUAUCUUCAACAAGAUAUCAUUUUGGAAGACAUAAAAAUCUCAACCAUUUCCUGGAGUUUCUUAGAAGAUGAAGGCGCUGUAUUGUGCUGUAUGUCAAGGCUUUCCUACUUAUUUCUAGUUUUUGGAAGAAAAGCAAUGACUUGGGAGGCUACAGAGGAAAAAUAAGCCUAGAGAACAUUUCCAGAAUAAUGGAUGCUAUGGUCAAUGAGAAGAUACAGGAAAAGGUCCAGUAGAUGUCUUUUACUCAUCUGCUGUUGAAGAGAAGGACUUCAUAUAUGUUCAAGUCUGAUGGACUAGACCUCUCACUCUACUUCUCUGAGAAUUGUAAUGGUUCUCUCAGUGAUUUGUCUGUGCUUUUCUUACAGUCUGAUAGGAGGGGGAGAAACUGCUACUGUAAUUGGUUUUUGGAGGGCUCUUGGGAAAUGGAGAAAGGAGUGAUUCUAUGGGAAGUGAGUAGAUCAGAACAUGAGGAGAGUAUUUGAUUACAGAAUUUCUGUUGAGAAUUUUAUUUUAUGUGUGAGAUGAUAAAAGGAAGGAAAUAACAGCUGAGUCCCCAAGUUGUUUGACAAUAAAGUUAAAAACACAGCUAGAUCA
rnacentral:lncRNA from 1 species